GACGAACGCUGGCGGCGUGCGUAACACAUGCAAGUCGAACGAAGUGGCGAACGGGUGAGUAACGCGUAAUCAACCUGCCCUUCAGAGGGGGACAACAGUUGGAACCGACUGCUAAUACCGAAUACUGAAGGAGGGGAUUGCGUCUGAUUAGCUAGGUGGAGGGGUAACGGCCCACCAGGGCGAUGAUCAGUAGCCGGUCUUAGAGGAUGAACGGCCAAAUUGGGACCGGGACACGGCCCAGAAUCCUACGGGAGGCAGCAGUGGGGAAUCUUCGGUAAUGGACGAAAGUCUUACGGAGCAACGCCGCGGGAGUGAUGACGGCCUUCGGGUUGUAAAGCUCUGUUAAUCGGGACGCGGUACCGGAAUAGAAAGCCACGGCUAACUCCGUGCCAGCAGCCGCGGUAAUAC
rnacentral:rRNA from 1 species